rnacentral:rRNA from 1 species
GACGAACGCUGGCGGCGUGCUUAACACAUGCAAGUCGAACGGAAAGGUUCUGCUUUUGUUGGCUGCUCGAGUGGCUAACGGUUGCGUAACGCGUGGUUACCCUUCCCUUGCCUUUGGGAUAACUUCAGGUAACUGUUGCUAAUACCGGCUAGUAGCUCCUGCUGUUUGUUAUGGGUUGGAAAUUUUCGGCGGGUGGGGAUGGACUCGCGGCUUAUUAGCUUGUUGGUGUGGUAGUUGCUUACCAAGGAUUUGACGGAUAGCCGGACUGAGAGGGUGACCGGGCACAGAGGGACAGAGAUACGGGCAAGACGGAUACGGGAGGAAGCAGUGGGGAAUAGUGCAAAAAAGGCGGAAGCCGGAAGCAGCAACGCCGCGUGGUGGAUGACGGCCGUCGGGGUGGAAACCGUUUUAGCGUGUGAAGAAGAGUGAGUGACGGUAAUGUGUAAAGAAGCACCGGCUAACUACGUG